UACAGGCCUUCCCCUAGGGAAACACUUGCAUCAGUAUUAGUGAGAGACCAAGUACACAUCUGAAGCAUUCCUGUGCUUUCUGUCCACUUGUCAGGUGAAGUUGCCACGUAUGACUGUCCAUCAGCCAGGAGAUGAACCCCCACCCGUGAGGCAGUGACUCAAGGUGCAAGGGAGUCCGGCAAGAAGUGUGGCGCACCCGAGUUGCUGCCACUGCUUUUUGGAUCACCCAGCACGGUGAAGUUGCCACGUAUGACUGUCCAUCAGCCAGGAGAUGAACCCCCACCCGUGAGGCAGUGACUCAAGGUGCAAGGGAGUCCGGCAAGAAGUGUGGCGCACCCGAGUUGCUGCCACUGCUUUUUGGAUCACCCAGCACGGUCUUCUGAAGUCUUCCUGAAAGCAUCCCUGGUGAUCUGUGAGCCCUUGGUCGUGUUGCCCGCCUUCUUCCUGUGGGUCUUGCUGGAUGCUCAUUGUCCCUGUGAGCCGAGGCCCUGGAGGCUUCAGAUUUAG
rnacentral:lncRNA from 1 species